GGAGAGGUGGCUCAGUGGUUAAGAGCACUGACUGCUCUUCCAGGGGUCCUGAGUUCAAUUCCCAGCAACUACA
rnacentral:tRNA from 1 species